rnacentral:tmRNA from 1 species
CCCCUUUGCGUGUGCCGGCGCUACGCUUAUAUUAAUCACGCCGGCUUGCCGGCUAUGGCGAUAAAUGGCCGUCGUAAUAAACCUAUCGGACCCGGGGGCAGUACCCGGCGCCUCCACCAAUUCAGGGAUCGGUUGCAGGAUCCCGUAUGGGGGCGAAACAGGAUCGACGAGGGCGUAAAGGGCGCGCUUUUGCUCGGCAUGGUUCCGCCGUUAUCGGGCCAAUCUCAUAGUUGCCAACGACAACUAUGCUCCGGUUGCUCAGGCCGCGUAACGCGGUUUGAAAGACCGAUUUAAAGUCCUGACGUCUUAGCAGCGGCAGGCGGGGUUCGGAGGCACCUGGCAACAGAAGCCUCCACU